ACUAUUAUUUUCAUGAGUUUUUAAGUCUAGAAAUUUUUGAAUUGCAGUUUUUCUGGUUCUACAAACCAUAAACAAUAUUAUGCAGUUCAGUGCUCAAAAGAUGCUGCUGUCUUCACUUCAGCUCGCACUGAAUCCGCGGAUAUGAUCUGCCAACUGAUAACCAUGCGAUGCAGCAUAUCCGCGAUCCGAAUUAGAGAAGAUCAGUAUCUCAGGUGCGCGAUGAGCGGCAUCUUUGAUGUACGCGCGUAGACGUCAUGGAACGUUUUCCCAUACUUGAUUUGGAUGAUUAUUACACAAAAUUUGUAAUACUUACCGAUUCUGAAGGAAGACCAGGAAUCCGUGGAAAUAAUGGCUAAGCGUGUGGCUACUGAUGAUGGACUGCCAUUGGGCGGUGUUCUAGUGGUUUUCGAAUGUUGGCGGCAUCAUUCUACCAAAGUGACUGGGUUUUUUUGUCUAGGCAACGCACGUGUACUUUGUUUACUUACGAAGACCAAAAGACAUCGCUUAUGCUACCGUUGUGGUUCAUUAAUCCCUAUAAUGGAGAUAUCGACAACAUUUCAUGAUACUUUGCACAAUAUCUGGAUGGAAGAACCCAAGCACGAUGCAUUUGAUUGUGGAAAGCCAGGAAAGGGUACAGGAACAGGAAUCACAGUCUUCCAGCGAAUCAAUUCCGACCCGCAUUUGACCCCCUCGACAACCGCUUCGAUGACAACUUCCUCGAACGGGAUAAAGUAAACGUCGCGUGUUACCGUUUCCAGCACGUUGUGUUCAUCAAAAUAGUUUUCUCUUUUCAAAAUAUUGAUUUGUGAGAUAACUAAGCGGCAGGAAACUGAUUCUAUAUUUGUCGGCAAUUUUUUUCCGGGUCGAAGAAUAAAGGUUAAAUAUUCAUCCGUGCCAGCCCGCCCAACCAUGUUUUUCCCAACUUUGGCCGUUAUAAUCACCGAAAUGUGGUGGCUGGUAUGGUUGAUUAUUUUGAAAGGUAUAGAAGGAGAUACGGCAUACAUCAAAGAAACGCGGAGAAUAUAGACAAACAGAGUUGAUGCCAGGGCGAUACAUCCGUUAGCAACUUGCCGCUCCGUGCCGGUCAUAUUGUGGAAAGUAAGCCAUUCCGUGGUUGCCGCCACAGCAUAAGAAGCAGCAAAUCCAAUUUCAAUUACUUCAAACCGUUCCGGAAACGUGAAGGCGUCCGCGGCAAUAACGAUGGAAAAGACAAAGUAAACAACGACGGCAAUCACGCACCAUUUCCCUAUAGAGCAUCGUGGCAGGUGCUGUCGGUUAAGGACGUAAGCCAGAUUCUUGAUUCCGUUGGUCAGCUCUCUAUCGCGCUCUUUACGGGCUUGUUCGGUGUCUUCCUCACCCCAGUCAUCAUCAAACUCUUCGCCAUCCACGGCAUCGACUGGAG